UACGUAGGGUGCAAGCGUUAAUCGGAAUUACUGGGCGUAAAGCGUGCGCAGGCGGUUAUGCAAGACAGAGGUGAAAUCCCCGGGCUCAACCUGGGAACUGCCUUUGUGACUGCAUAGCUAGAGUACGGUAGAGGGGGAUGGAAUUCCGCGUGUAGCAGUGAAAUGCGUAGAUAUGCGGAGGAACACCGAUGGCGAAGGCAAUCCCCUGGACCUGUACUGACGCUCAUGCACGAAAGCGUGGGGAGCAAACAGGAUUAGAUACCCUGGUAGUCAAGGGCG
rnacentral:rRNA from 1 species